CUUUCCUGGAUGAUUCUGCCAGCAGUCAGACCCUUUGUCGUCUAGAUUAACCCAUGCCUGUCUAAGUAUAAGCAACUUUGUACUGAGAAACUGCGAAUGGCUCAUUAAAUCAUCUAUAGUUUAUUUGAUGGUUUUUGCUACAUGGAUAACUGUGGUAAUUCUAGAGCUAAUACAUGCAUUCUAGCCCCAACUUCUGGAAGGGAUGUAUUUAUUAGAUAAAAAUCCACUUUGUUGACGAAUCAUAAUAACUUCUCGCACCGCAUGGCCACAUGCUGGCAGUGCUUCAUUCAAAUAUCUGCCCUAUCAACUGUCGAUGGAAAGAUAGAGGCCUACCAUGGUUGCAACGGGCAACGAGUAAUAAUGGUUCGAUUCCGGAGAGGGAGCCUGAGAAACGGCUACCACAUCCAACGAAGGCAGCAAGCUCGCAAAUUACCCACUCCCAACACAGCGAGGUAGUGACAAUAUGUAACACUAUACGGUCUUAUACGUCGUAUAAUUGCAAUGAGUACAAUUUAAAUCACUUAACGAGGAACAAUUGCAGGGCAAGUCUGGAGCCAGCAACCGCCGUAAUUCCAACUCCAAUAACGUAUAUUAAACUUGUUGCAGUUAAGAAGCUCGUACUUGGACCUUGAACCUGAACAGGCGGACCGCCUCACGGCCAGAACUGUCUUGCUGGGUCUUUCCUCUUGGUGAUCUGCUGUUCUCACAGACAGCAACCACGACCUUUACUUUGAAAAAAUUACAGUGUUCAAAGCAAGCUCGACGCCAGCAUAUAUUAUCAUGGAAUAAUAAAAUAUGACGUGCGGUUCUAUUUUGUUGGAUGCUGUAAUCGCCGUAAUGAUUAAUAGGGACAGACAGGGGCAUUACUACUCACAUGCUACAGGUGACACUCAUGGACUUUGUGAAGACUAACUUGUGAGUAAGCAUUUGCCAAGGAUGUUUUCAUUAAUCAAGAUUGAAGGUUAGGGUAUCGAAAACGAUUAGAUACCGUUGUAGUCUUAACAGUAAACUAUGCCGAAUAGGGAUCGGUGGAUGUUAUCUUUUUGACUCGAUCGUCACCUUAGCGAGAAAUCAAAGUUUUUGGGUUCUGGGGGGAGUAUGGUCGCAAGGCUGAAACUUAAAGAAAUUGAUGGAAGGGCAUCACCAGGAGUGGAGCUUGCGGCUUAAUUUGAUUCAACACGGGGAAACUCUCCAGGUCCAGACAUAGGAAGGAUUGACAGAUUGAUAGCUCUUUCUUGAUUUUUAUGGGUGGUGGUGCAUGGCCGUUAUUAGUUGGUGGAGUGAUUUGUCUGGUUAAUUUCGAUAACGAGCGAGACGUUAACUUGGUAAAUAGCCCCAUCGUUGAUGGUUGGAGGCUGGUUUCUUAGAGGGAUUAUUGGAUUCCAGCCAAUGGUAGUUUGAGGCAAUAACAGGUAUGUGAUGCCUUUAUAUGUUCCUGGGCCGCACGCGCGGUACAGCUGAUCGGAGCCAAGGAGUACUUUCCUUGUCCGGAAGGACUGGGUGAUGUUGUGAAGAUUCGUCGUGAUGGGGAUAGAGCAUUGCAAUUAUUCUCUCUCUACGAGGAAUUCGUAGUAAGCGUGAGUCAUCAGCUCGCGUUGAUUACGUCCUUGCCCUUUGUCCACACCGCCCGUCGCUACUAUCGAUGGAAUGGUUUAGCGAUCCUUUGGGAUCGGCAGCUAGUACCGGCAACGGUAGCAGGCCGGUGAAAAUUUAGGCAAACUCGGUCAUUUUAAAGGGGUAAUAGUCGAGACA
rnacentral:rRNA from 1 species